rnacentral:rRNA from 1 species
CAAUAGCGUAUAUUAAAGUUGUUGCAGUUAAAAAGCUCGUAGUUGGAUUUCUGGUGGGAGCGAUCGGUCUGGCGCUUAGCGCGAGUACUUGCAUCGUCUCCGGCCAUCCUUGGGGAGAGUCUGUCUGGCAUUAGGUUGUCGGGCAGAGGAUCCUCAUCGUUUACUGUGAAAAAAUUAGAGUGUUCAAAGCAGGCUUAUGCCGUUGAAUAUAUUAGCAUGGAAUAAUAAGAUAGGACUUCGGAACUAUUUUGUUGGUUUGCGUUACGAAGUAAUGAUUAAUAGGGACAGUUGGGGGUAUUCGUAUUUCGUUGUCAGAGGUGAAAUUCUUGGAUUUCCGAAAGACGAACUACUGCGAAAGCAUUUACCAAGGAUGUUUUCAUUAA